AAAUCGUGAGGGUUCAAGUCCCUCUAUCCCCAAAAAGACAAUUUGACUCCCUAAUUAUUUAU
rnacentral:tRNA from 1 species